GUCUAUUAACAUCACGGAGCUGAAUCUGCCGCAGCUAGAAAUGCUCAAGAACCAGCUGGACCAGGAAGUGGAGUUCUUGUCCACGUCCAUUGCUCAGCUCAAAGUGGUACAGACUAAGUAUGUGGAAGCCAAGGACUGUCUGAACGUGCUGAACAAGAGCAACGAGGGUAUGGGGUAGGCGGGUGAGGGUAACCUAAAGUGGCGAACCUGCUUCUCUCGUCCCACCUCCUAACCCAGUUUUUCUUAUCUGAAACGAGAAAAUCCAUUACGUAUCGUAUACCGCUUCAUGAACCCUUUGCAUGUUGCCUGCCUAGAAUUGAAAUGUACAGGACAUUCCUCUGCUCCUAUUGCCCCUGUUUCCGUUCUUUUCACACUGUCUGUGGGUGCUGUGCCCUGUUGGAACUCUCUUUAACGUCUUACGUUGGAGCCGCUAACCUUCCCCAGGUGUUUGUCUUCAUUGCUUUCACAGGGAAAGAAUUACUCGUCCCACUGACGAGUUCUGUAUCCUUUCCACAGGAACGGCUACCUGCUGCCUUCUCCCUUUCUCCUUCACUCCCCCAAAAAGCGGGGAGGGGGAUUGUUUUGAUUACUUCAGAUUACCCUCUCCUCACAAUGAUUUUGAGGAUACCCUUCUUUCUUUCUUUCUUUUUUGAGACGGAAUUUCGCUCUGUCGCCCAGGCUGGAGCGCAAUGUGAGCCGAUAGCGGGCAAUUGCACUCCAACCUG
rnacentral:sRNA from 1 species